rnacentral:misc_RNA from 1 species
GAUGAAGAACGCAGUGAAAUGCGAUAAGUAAUGUGAAUUGCAGAAUUCAGUGAAUCAUCGAAUCUUUGAACGCACCUUGCGCUCCCUGGUAUUCCGGGGAGCACGCCUGUUCGAGUGUCGCGAAAUUCUUCAAGCCUUGGAUGGAUUUUUUUUGUCUGUCCUUGGGCUUGGUUGUUGGGCUCUGCCGUGUCCUUCAUUGGGACGGCUGGCCUUAAAAGCAUUAGCCGAUCCUCGUGUGGUACUGGUUCUACUCAGCGUGAUAACAAUCUGAUCGUUGAGGACAUCUGCUGGAUGGCCAGUCAUCAUUUGGGUUGCUUCUAAACCGGUUUCGCAGAUUGCUCAAUCUGUGUGCCACUUUUCAGCUUUGACCUCGAAUCAGGUGGGACUACCCGCUGAACUUAAGCAUAUCAAUAAGCGGAGGA